ensembl:lincRNA Gm5420 predicted gene 5420
UGUGCCUCCUUUGAAUUCACCGUUUCUCAUGGUAAAGGUUAGCAAGAGUGUAGCCACAGUUCUCUGGUCUCAGUACCUACACACAUUUGAGAGGGCGCUCCAUCAAGCCCAGAGCUCACCUAUUAUACUGAUCUCGGUGGCCAGCUUACUCUGUGGAUCCAGACUCUACAGGACCAGGCUGAAAUAUGACUUGUUCUGCCAAUCUAGAGUUACAAUCUAGGAUUCCGGAGGGAGAUCCAUCACUCUGGGGUCAGAAUCCAGGCCCUCUCGCCUACGUGAAAAGUGCCUUUCCAUAGCUGGCUGAGAGAAGUCCCUGCUUUGUGUUUUGGAUGGGGUCUCUUCUCUCUACUCAGCACCAGCUGAUCUGGAAGCCACUCUAUAGAGCAGACUGACUUUGAAAUCACAGAGCCACAUCAGUCUCUGCCUCCCCAGUGCUGAAAUUAAAGGCGCACACCACCCGCUCUGGUGACAUUUUUCUUUAAAAAAUGAACAAAAAAGGGUUGCGUUUGCCAGUUUUUAAAAAAGAAUUGCCU